AUAUAUUAUAUUAUAGAAAUAAUUAGUUAUAUAUAACAUUAAAAUAAAAAAAUAUAUAUAUGGUCACAUAUGAAAUAGUAUAUAUAUAAGCAUUAAUUAAAUUAGUUUUAGAUAUAUUUUAAAAUAAUUUACUUAGUCUUAUUUUUUAUUUUAUUUGCAGGUAGAAAACUUAAUUGAAAUAUUUAAUAAAGAAAUAAGUCGAAUUGAUGAAUUAGAAGAAAAAAUACUAGAUGUAGGAAGACUUUUUCUUACUAUAGAAGAUGUCUUUUUUACCAUUAUGCUAACUUGACCUGACAUAUUAGUAUGUCAGUAUUGCAAUUAAUGCUUGCAGCUAGCUGUGCAAGUGGCUUACUUGCAAUGUUAAUACAAAUGAAAAAUAUUGCAAACAUUUGGAAAAAUAUAUAUAAGAAUUUUAGUAAUAUCUUUGGAUAUAAUAAUAGGUUAUUUAUACCUUCCAUUUUGCACGGGAAAGAAAAUGUUUUCACAGAAAGUACACUUAAGUACAAGUAUUUGGAACAUUACUCUAUACUUUUAAUCAUCAUAUUUUUAUUUGCCAUAGCUAUGAUGACGGGUGGAAACAUAUCAGCCUUUCAUAAAUAUUGUCAGGUUAGUAUUUCUUUCUUAUUUAUAAAUUUGAUUUUAUUAUUAGUAGUUUAACUAAUAUCUUUAUUAUUGAUUAUCUUUAUAGGAUCAUGAAAUCGUAGUUCUGAGUCCUAUUUGAUGGUUGUGGAGGAUCAUGCUUGUUUAGAUGCAGUGCUCUAUUGAUUUUUUUAUUUAUUUAUUAGACAAUUAUUAAUUUGGUUUAUCUAGUAGUUUAGUGUUUUUGUUUUGCAUUUUGUGAUUGAAAUUCUUCUUGAGAGCACUUACCGUUGAUUUUUUCUUCUAUAGGAGGAAAGGGAUGAAAGAUACUGAGUAUAUUUACAAAUUCAUUAACCCCAUUUCUCUUUUCAUCAAAAACCUACAAAGAUAAAACAUAUCAAAGCAUAGGAAAAGAAAUCCUAAUCUCUGGCCAUGAUGGAAUUAUUGUCAUUUAUUCUGAACCAAGAUCUUUCUUUCCCAAAAUACCAGUUUUUAUUUAAAAAAUUAUACACUAUUUGAAGAAGAAGUUGGAAGAAUCAUCACUUGAUCACAAAGGAUAAAGAAAUUGCUUCAAGAUUAGGAGUAAUAAUUUAUAAAGAAUGAGGUGCAAGCCAGAUUUGAGCGUAUCACAAAAAUUUCAGAUUGUCUCACAAGGACGAGCUAGCUGCCUUGGCCACUCUGGGACCACUCUGGGAGGCCUACGUACGUACCUCCAUGCAAGGAUUUAAAAAGAAUUGCCAUUUACAGCAGCAAUUGCCAUUUCAUGCCAUUUACAUACAUGAACGCAUGCUUAUUAGGACCAGGUGCAUGCAGUGUACGUAGUGUAGAGUAAUGGGCAGUGUACGCUUGCCUGAUGCAGUGGUACAAAGAGUAGUGGGCAGUGUUUUGCUACAUACGUUAAAACGAGGAACAAAGUGAGACCCAUUUCUGAAAAAUAGAGGCAAAAUUCUUGACUUGGAACAAGGACAGACAGUGGGGCGUGGGCUCGAUUGCACGGAAAAGAAAGAAAAAUAAAAUAAAUAAACCCAAAAUACUACAGGACAAUACCCCAACCAACCCGAUACCCUCUCACUCUCACUCACUCACUCACCCUCCUUGUCUCUUCAUAUACUCAAGACAAUACAAUACCUCAACCAACCCGAUACCCUCUCACUCUCACUCUCACCCUCCUUCUUGGUUCUUCAUAUACUCAAGACAAGCCCAGCCCUAGCUAGCUGCCACUACCUAUAACCACCAUCGUCCUUCUCCCAUCACCAUCUCCAUCCCCAAGACCCAGGUCGAACCUCCGACCUCGAUCGCGCCAUGAUUCGAAGAACCCAGGCAUGAUUCUUUCAGCGUCACUCUUCCCGUCGCCCUAAAUCGAGCCAAGCCCAAAAGACCCAUACCUGUUGCACAGCCUAAACCGAGCCCAGGCGCACCCAACCCAAAUCUGAGAGCCUCUAGCUAGUGCGCUCCACCACCCGGCACGAUUCCACCUCUGCAACACAAAUACACCCAGACCCAUCAAUCCACUGCUACUCCGUAAGUAUAUAUAUAAUUAUAAAUACAUCAUAAUUACUUAUCUACUUACUUUAUUACUGUUUGUCAAUGUCUAGAAGGUUUGAAAUGGAUUCUAGAAGGUUUGAAAUCGAUUUGGAAGGAGAAGCUGCUACCGAUGAGUAAGGUUUGAAAUGUAUAUUGACAAACAGUAAUAAAGUAAGUACCUCAUCAGUAGCAGUUUCUCCUUCCAAAUCGAUUUCAAACCUUCUAGAAUCCAUUUCAAACCUUCUAGACAUUGACAAACAGUAAUAAGGUAAGUAGAUAAGUAAUUAUGAUGUAUUUAUAAUUAUAUAUAUAUACUUACGGAGUAGCAGUGAAUUGAUGGGUCUGGGUGUAUUUGUGUUGUGGAGGUGGAAUCGCACUUGGUGGUGGAGCGCACUAGCUAGGGGCUCUCAGAUUUGGGUUGGGUGCGCCUGGGCUCGGUUUAGGCUGUGCAACAGGUAUGGGUCUUUUGGGCUUGGCUUGAUUUAGGGCGACGGGAAGAGUGGCGCUGAAAGAAUCGCGCCUGGGUUCCUCGAAUCGUGGAGCGAUCGAGGUCGGAGGUUCGGCCUGGAUCUUGGGGAUGGAGAUGGUGAUGGGAGAAGGACGAUGGUGGUUAUGGGUAGUGGCAGCUAGCUAGGGCUGGGCUUGUCUUGUCUUGAGUAUAUGAAGAGACAAGAAGGAGGGUGAGAGUGAGAGGGUAUUGGGUUGGUUGGGGUAUUGUAUUGUCUUGAGUAUAUGAAGAGACAAGAAGGAGGGUGAGUGAGUGAGAGUGAGAGGGUAUCAGGUUGGUUGGGGUAUUAUUGUCUUGUCUUGAGUAUUUUGGGUUUAUUUAUUUUAUUUUUCUUUCUUUUCUGUGCAAUCGAGCCCACGCCCCACUGUCUGUCCUUGUUCCAAGUCCAAAAUUUUGCCUCUAUUUUUCGGAAAUGGGUCUCACUUUGUUCCUCGUUUUAACAUACGUAGCAAAACAGUGCACCACUGUAGAAACACUACGCAUACGGCGUGUUCCACCACUGCAUCAGGCAUACACUGCACCCCUGUACGUACGUACCUUUAUUUUGAGCGUCCACUACACUACGUACAAUGCACCCUAUGCAUACGUACCUCUGUUUUGAGUCCAUUACCCUACCUCCUUUUUAUACAUAUAUAUAUAUAUAUAGAUAAAUUCUUUGGUGCAGUUGUACGAAACGACCGCACAGGUACACCUGUUUUUGGUGGAUUCUAUUGGUUGUGUGGGGUGUGGAACAAAUUGUUAUUAUAGGGAGGAUAGUAUCAAAUAAUUUUUUUUCUUUGUAUUAUACAUUGAUCACGUGGUCUUAACCUAUGACAAGUAAUAUUGGAAUGACUUUCUUUAGUA